UGUCAAUAAUGUUAUCUGUGAAGUGCAGCAUUAGAGCUUUCUUUUAUUCAUGAAGACUUUAAAAAUACAUCAUACCCACCCAUCCCAUCUUUGAACGUCAAGAGCAAGUUCAGGGCCAGCCCAGGAUCAAGCCCUUCGGUGGAAGCUGUGCUUUUUUGCCACUGGCUGGGGAGAUCAUUAUUCUGGGAUGCACCUGGAAUACCCGUCAGCAUUUGAAAAUGAGCCUUUGGAUGUUCACAGCACAUAUUCAAAUGAUGUGCCUCCUUCAUGUCAUUGAGGUCUUCCUGAGAUGGUGGCAGUGUACUUCAGUGACGCAGUUAUUGACUGUAUGCAGUUCAAGGAUGCCAGAAGUGACAUUUGAAGAAAACAUUCUGCUUGUUGGCUUUUCAGACUUAAAAUGAAGAUCAGAUUUUGGCCAAGUAUGGAAAUUGAAGAAAACUUUGACUACUGUGGAUUAAAGUUUAGUUUUCUCCUUUUCUGGCUUUGUGACCAAGGAUAAGCCACUCUGGACACUGAGAUCCAUUUCUUGGGGGAGUGCAGCUCACAUUCAUGGCAGAGAGGUUAAGCAUGGAUUUGAGCUCUUAUAUGGAGGCAGCAUGAACCAUCCUUGAGUGUGCCUUUGAACAUAUUUAAUCACUGGGUUUUGAUCAGGGGAAGGACGACGGCCAUCAACUGGAAAGAUGUCCACGUAUUAACUUGGGCUGCUGUGGAUGGCAAAGGUGACAGGAAUGUCCCAGAACAGUGGGAGAAGCUAGUAGCUCACAGGAAGCCAAGAUGACGAGAAUCUCCUUAAAAAAUCUGUAAGUAAAAUUUCGUUAGCUCUUUAGAAUUUGUUUAACUAAUGGAUGAUUUGUGUUUAAGACCUCAUGGUAAAAAGGACACCACAAUCAAGUAAUUUAAAAGGGUAAAAGGGAAAAUGUGUUAAAAAACAUCUGAACACUUCAGAAAAUUGAUGCUAACAUUUGAGAAAUUUUGGUUUUGCUUAAUUCUUUCUUGGUAGGAGACAUUUUUAGUUGGGUGCAUUAAUUUGGUAGAUAGGGCAAAAGUGUUUGAAGAAUUAAAAGAGGAUUCCUUAUACCAGAUGGACAUUCAAACUCAGAAUGACCCUUCUGAAACACAGGUUUUGGUCCCUGUGGUUCCUUGGGUCCCAUUUCACUCAGGUAGCUUUUGUUUGGUGUAUUUUAGAAGUAAAUAUGAAAAAAUUUGGUUAAUAUGAAUAAGAAUGGGUUCUUUGUCUACACCUUCUCCCUAGCUCAAUGUGUUCCUAAUGUGACGGUUACACAAGGCUGAUUUUGGUUUCGUUGUGAUGGUAAUACUGGUAGCGCCUGUGAUAGCUCAGUGGAAAGAUGAGAGCUUUUGAGUCAGACAUUCUAGGUCUGACUUGCAUUUAGUAUUGUAGUAGUUACUGAAACUCUCAGGACCUGACUGACUCAUCUGUACAUUGGAGCUGAUAAGACUUCUCAGGACUUGAAGACUGUUGGUCGUUCUUUGAGCUAUGUCUGGUGUAUUAGCGGGCCACAGUAAACGCGGUUGCUUUCUGUCCUAUUUGUAUCAUGAUUUACAAUUUAUGAGCCUUUAUUCUGACUUGAAAGAUUGACCAGCUCUGGGACCUGAGUUACAGUGGUGUAAAUCAGCAGUGCUCAGUAACUCUGUAGGCAGCAGAUGGUAGGUGAAGAUCAACAAGAAAACUUCCCACCAAGGCUGAUUUCAUAGUACAACAGAGGUUACCAAAAGCCAGGUAGGGAGGUGAUAGGUGGGUACACACGACUGUGUCCUGUCAACCAGACACAGGAGUUGCAAACAGCAUCAGGAAGGUGGGUACUGGUAAAAUAAUUAGGAAGCAAUGAGUUUUGAGUAUUUAUUAUGUUGGUUUAAGUAUAAUUAAAAAAUUAAGUUUAGGUCCUGCACAGUGUGGCUCAUGUCUAUAAUCCCAAGUACUUAGGAGAUGGAGAUCAGGAGGACUGCUGUUCAAGGCCAGCCCAGGCAAAAAGUUAAUGAAAUUCUGUCUCAAAAAAUAAGCUGAGCAUGUUGGCACCAGCUUUGGUCCCAGCUUUGUGGGAGGCUGUAAGUAUGAGGAUUGCAGCCUGAGGCUGGCCCAGGCAAGAACUGAAGACCCUACCUGAAAAAUAUCUAAAAAAGCAAUAAAGGCUGGGGCAUGGCUCAAGUGGGAGAGUGCCUCCCUACCCAGAGUGAGGCCCAGGGUUCCAACACCAGUAUUGCCAAAAAUGAAAUCAAUAAAUAAAAGUUGAGUUUAUAUAAUUUACUUUGUGUGUGGGAAGCGGGUAUUGGGGCUUAAACCUAGGCAAGUGUUCUACUACCUGAGUCAUGCCCCUAGCCUCUGGAGUAGAUAGGAUUAUGGGUUUGAGGCACCAUACCCUGCCCUCAAAAUUUUAAGUCUUUCUUUUUUUUUUCCCUUUCCUUUUUGGUGGGCCUUUUCAGGGGCCUCACAGUUGCUAGGCAGGCGCUCUGCCAUUUGAGCCACUCUGCUCUUCCCUCAAAAUGUAAGUCUUAAUGCCUCCAGAGAGGACCAAAUCAAAACCUGGCAGCUUAAAGUUCAUUUUGGCUUCGGGUGUAAAAUGGAGGAAAGAAACAAAACUGGAUCAGAUAGCUCCAUGUUUAUUCUAGAAGCAGCUUCCUCAGUCUUUCUAACUUGCCCUUUAGAAGAAAAUAAUUGAAGCCUGAAAUUGCUAAGUAACAGCAAGGGUUGUGGUGGUUGUUUUUAUUUUAAAUCUCACCCACCUAGUUCUCAAAACACUUUCUUUAUUAAGCCUGAAAAAUGCCUUGAAUAUUUCAAAACAUUCAUUUUGUGUCAAUGCCCUGAAUCAGACUUACAUAAUCUUAAAAUAUUCAUUUCCCUUAUUUCCUCUUAAAAGGUAUUUAUAGUUCCCACCAAGUCAGGGGAUUAUUGGAUUACUGCAAAAUUAAUUCUUGUCCAUUUCAUGAGGAAGCUCAUGAUUACCAUCUGAGGAUUUGCCUGGAUUAUGAAAUACUGCCUGUGGCUUAAUCAGAUUGAUUGAAGGUGUUUUUGGUAACUGAAAGCCAAUGUGAGAGUAAUAAUUAAUAAGGACAUUUUGCCACAGAAAACACUUUCUGAUUUGCAUUUCCAUCUCUCUCCCAGGAAUGGUCCUUCUGUUGUUCCUAAACAUCCCAAGCAGAUAAGAAUUUCUAAUUUGAGAGUUGCCUAGGUGUGCAGUCUUCAAAUGUAUACAUUUUACAGCCUUGUGUUGUAUUCCAAGCAACCAAUAGUAGCUUGCUGGAAACUUGGGAGUCGUGGGUUUUAAGGGUAGAUUCCAGUAUCAUACAAUCUCAUGUACUUUAGGAGUCAACAGUCCAGCCUAGUAAAGAAAAUAUAAUUUCAAGAUGAAUAUACUAGAUGUUAUAAAACAUGUAUAAGCAGGACAUGGAAGAAAGAGAUUGCCUGGGUGGCAAGAAGAAUAGGCCAGAUCAGAAGGGUUUCAGGAGCAGAGUACGUGUGAGUUGGGUAUUUGAUUCACGUUGGUUUAUUAAAUUGUAACAUUAACAUUGCUAAUUGGAAAGGACUUUAUGAAUGAGAAAAAUAUUCAAUAAAAAACUCUUCAGCGUGGGAGUUCUAGUUCACGUACUGCUGUAAGUCCCAGGACUUCACUUGGAUGGCUGUGAGGAUCCGGUGAGAUUUGGUUUCUGGAAGAGUGAGAGCAGCAGAAAGGCACAUGGAAAUGGAGGCACUGACUUUAGAGUACAGUGCCUUCUUGCAUGUCACAGGAGGGACGAAAUCCCUCUCCAGACAUUCUCCAUUCCCUUGGUGGUCACUUUUAUUCUCAUCCACACAUUUGCUGCUCUUCCUGCCCUCCCUCCAGCCAGGAAGGGAUUACAUUCUCCCACUCUAGUGAAGGCUGACUCCCAGAGCUGGUUUGGCCAUAAGACUUAUUUUGGCUAAUGCUAUGUGAGUGACAGUUGCAUGUACCAUUUCUGAGCAGAACCUUUAACAGCAUGGCUUUGUUCUGCCAUCUUUCUCUUGUUCUUGGUGUCCAGUCAGGGUGCUCUUGCCUUGUCCCUAGUAAAGAGGAUGUAGAGUGUGCAAAGAACAAGACAGGAAGCAGAAAGAGAUCUCUGCAUUGUUAAGAGGAUUCAUUCCUGUAGGAUAAUUUAACCUAAAGUAGUAUCCCCCCUUUCCUCUCUUUCUGGAUGCACAUGCACACACUCCCUCCCCUCUCCCUCUCUCCAUUUCUCCUGGUACCCAGAGCUUUCAUCUUGAGAGAUAGGGCAUCUAGUGUUGACCCAGAUAACCUUCAUUUGUUCUUUGAACACUUAAAGAAGAUAUCCUGCACCACAGGUUGAACUUUUAGAGGUUUAGAGUUAUCUGAGCCCUGGGCAGAGCUUUCAGGGAUCUCAAGGCAAGGUGCAGAUGUCACUGUGGAAUGACGCAGGGGGUGCCCCCAGCUUGAGGACAGUGCCCUGAGGUAUACUCACUGCUGUGCAUUCAAGUGUCAUUGCUUUCUGUUUCUUCAGCUUAGCUGUACUGACUUGCUCACUCUUCACUGUGUAAUGUCCUUUUUUUGACAUGUAUCCUAAAUCCUUUGAUUUCACAGAUAACUUGUCAAUUUUUGUUUCCUUUCAUAUAAAUUGCUUAACAUGCUGUUACAAUAAAAUUAAGCCCUUUGUCAGUUGAUUGUUUUCUUUGUUUUAUUUUCCCUCCUCAAGUUACUGGUUCUCUUUUCCCUUGAUGUAUGAAGUAGAGUUCAUUAUUGUUAAUUGCAGUGCUCCUUUCCUUUGUCUUUUGAUGGUAUCUCAGGUGUUUAAGGCUCUGUCAUAAGAGGACAAGUUUGUCUGGCCUUAGUAAUACCUUACCUUAAUUUGGAUAAUUUGGAGGUGGCUCUCAUAAUUUCAGGACACAUGUGUCAAAGAGAACUAACUUACUUUAAUGUUCCUAGUAACUAGUUCUGGCUUGAGUCCAUGAAGUGAAAUCAGGAGCUCACAGAGGUCUGUCUGAGUGGUGAUUUGUGUGUUAAGACUCUGUGUAAUUUCGCUGUUCCCCUUCCUUCAUGACUGAAUUCUGUCCCAUUAGUUCUGACCACCUCUCCAUUGAUUCCAGAAGACACAGGCAGAGUAAGUCACUUUUAGACCAUGGUCUUUCAGACUUUCUGACCAACAUGCCUGGAAAGAAAUGGUUGUCAGUCUCAGUCAGAUAGAAGAGGCACCCAGACAGCUGUCAGGUUUUGUCAGAAAUGGUCUACUUAGCUGUGGUGGGUUCAUGGGUAUUGAUUUUUAAUAUUGUUUCAUAACAAAUAGGUAAAUAUAUUUUUUCUAUGUGUUAAAUACCGCAUAAACAAAAAUAUUUAAAAGUGUAAAACACAGUUAAUUCUGCUAAAUGGGUCAUUGUAUUUAUAUCAGCAGAUCUGAAAAUUUGCCAAAAACAAGGGUUGGUCUGUUUUCUGAUUUUCUCUUAAAACACUUUAAGAUGAGCAUUUUAAUAUAGGGCUAGUACUUUGUUAGGAAAAAAAAUAGGGCGAAAGAAACUCUUAGUGAAAAUACUGUUCACAAACCCCUGAUUUUUAAGAUGAUUUUAUGCAAGUACAAGUGUCAGAGUAGUAUAAAGUUUACCUAGAAAGGUAUUUUCUCUUAGGCAGCUAUUUCCUCUCUUAGGAAAUAGCUAGUGACUUAUUCUCCACUUAUUCCUUCUCUUUUUAGGUAUUUACACAGAGUCUGAGACAUCACCCUCAGUUUCCUCAUCUGUAAGCCUGAGUAUUAGACUCAGUAGUGUCAGCUUUGGGGUCAGACAGACAUGGUUUUGAAGCUGGCUGUGACUUGGCUUAGCCAUUGAACUUGGACACAUAUAUCUUCCUUUACUCCAAGCUUCCUCAUGGGUUCAUUGUAGCUGUUAACACCUGCCUUGCAGUGCUGUGUUUAGAUUACAUGUAAAAUGAUGUGUAAACAGAAGCCAUUGGCAUUACUAGGUACUCAGUGAAUAAAUUAAGUUGAGCUUGUUUUGUUUUCUUGUUCUGGGUAGAAUUUCAAAUACAUUUUCCUUUAGGAACAAGGCUAUGAAUGAAGAUUGGGUGCAGUAUUAGAAAUUUUAUUGAUGUUACAUUUCAGAUCAAUCAUGAGUUAAAUAGGCUUUGAAGGACUGGGGAGAGAAGCCAGCCUGUGCACUACUAGAAACACAUUGUCUCCACUCAAGUGUACUCCAAGUGCAAGGCAAGAAGAGUUCAUUGACUUUAAACCUAGAAGUGAACUUUUAGAAUGUAAUUUAACCUGCCUUCUUCUGGGGAAUUUCCUGCUUCCAAUCCAGCAAGGUGAUCCUAGGAAUCUGGACCAAAUUUAAAAAAUCACAGCUAUGAAAAGAGGAGUAGUCCCUCUUAGUAGCAGAGCUGAAAGUUAAGUAGAAGAAGGCAGAUUUGAGGAAUGGAGGACAAAGCCAACUUGUGGAAGUAAAGAUGCCAUCUUGUCCUCAUAGAGUUUUUGUUGAAUUGAUCCUAAAGCCCAGCUAAGCUACCACUGUGGCUUUCCUGUUGUUGGUAUUUUGAGUCAAUAUGUCCCACCUCGCUUUUGCCUGUGCUGCUUCAAGUGCUAUUUCUGUCACCUGCAAGAUAAAGAAUGCUGACUAAUACAUUUGGUUGUUUAUACUUGGAAUAUUUAUCAGUGCCUUUGUCAUGGGAAAAUAUAAUAAAUAGUUAAUUGGGUAAUAGGGCAGCUAAUUUAUGACACAGCUUUUUUGAGAACAGUGGUAGUGUUUAUUCCUACCUACCAUAAAAGCAGAAAUGUAUUAACACAUUAAUCAAAGGGUACAAGUGACUGUGGCUAUGUGUGGUAAUGACUCUCUAUAGAAGCUUGCACUAAUGCAAAUGCCAUACAACUUUUGGCUUUAGACCAUUUAAACAAAUGCAUGUCUGUGAUGGUUCUAGGAGUUAUGAGUUGUCUUGAAGAAUUUCCCUUUGCCACCUCUUAAUUUAUUAUUAAAGUCAUUUACUUGUUGGUAGGCAGGUAGGUAUUUAUGGUUCUAAUACAUACAUUGAGAGAGAUGAUUAUAUGUAAGAGGAAUUGGUAUUCUGGCAAAUUGUCAAUUACAUAUGUAUGUGUUCCUACUUGAAAGGACAAUGGAAUGACUCUUCAGUGGGGUAGUGUUUGGGGAACUGAGAUUGAGCGUGACACACUGUUCUGUAAACUCCACUUCCUUUUAGGAAGUAUUGAAUUUGCUUUUCCAAUAGUGUUCUGUAUUGUUAGAACAUGUCGCAAAGAGCAAAGAAACACAUCUGCUGCUUGGGUUGUUUGCCAACUGGCUUGAACAACUAUAAUACUUGUUUAUUCUUGGUAUGUUAGUGAAGGUUUCCUUUUCUCCAUUGUUGCUGUUAUAUAACAUAAACAUCGUUAGACAACAAUGACUAUUCAGAAUCUGCUAAGCCUGUGGGUUACAAAGCCAGUGAAAUAUACCCUCUGCCUUCCAUGGACUUUUUUUUAUCUGGUGAGGGAGAAAGGGCAGAGAUUUCCAAAAGAAAGAGGGCACUAAGACACUAUAUGUUUCAGUGUACAUAGGCCUUGUGGGAGAGGAGAGGAGGAAAGAAGAGAGGAGAAGGUCCUCAGGGCUUGGGCCAGUGAGGGCAUUCUAGGAGAAGGAAGGUUUGAGUGAGUCCUGAAUGGGUGGGAGUUGCAGAGCUAGAGGUUGGAUUCUGAAUGACUGAACAUGAUGGCAUUGGUUCUGUGGGUUGUCACUUUUCUUUUCCCCAUAGCUGUAUAUUGAGAAUCUUUGUGGUUUGCAUUUUAAUUUGAAACAACAAAAACAUUGUAAAAACAACUAUCCCUUUUCUUUUGUGAGAAUGGUAAUGGUGUGUGUCCCUAUUGUUUCUGAAGCACAAAGAUUGUAGGAAGCAUCCUUUGAGGGUUUUAAGUUCUCAUUGCAGCUGGUCACUUUCAUGAGAACUUCCUUCUUCCAGGAUGCAGCACCUACUCUAAAUUUCAAGCUUGACUGGAUCCUAAACAAUCAGGACAAACGGUGUAGAUCACUUCUCUUUCCUGUGUGUGCUGCCUUCCCUCCUCUGCCAGGUAGCUCAGAAGGUGGUGUUAAGAAGUUACUGAGUUGUGCUUAUACACGUAAGUUUAAUGUAGUCCUCUCAAAAUAAGAGAACUGCUGCUCUAGGCAUAACAGCCAACAUAUUACCAGUUUACUCAGUGUGAUUAAUUGCAAUGUUUUUGUAAAUAGAAAACCAGUGCUCUGAAAAAUGCAUAUAACUUAAGUUAACGUUUGAGGAAAGUUGCCUAUAAAGCAAAUUGUUUUGUUUUUGAUCUCUAGUUUAAAAUUACAGUUGUUCAAUUGAUUGACAGAGGAAAGGUUUAUGACAUGAUGGCAUGCUGAACUUUGAGCAUAUGAUGGUGAUGAUGUGUGGGGAGACAUGGGGGAGGGGCCUGCCAGCUAGAACAGCAGCUGGGAGACAUCCAACCUCAGUGACCCUAACGGGAGGGAAUGAAUGCCUGAACCAGGAAUGGAAACUGGUACAGGUAAGAAUGAAGCCUUCAUGUUAUACCUGUUGACCGUGGAUUGUCAGAAGUGAGGUAGGGAGCGUAGAUGGUUCCACAAUUUAGCUUCAAGUUAAAUCUUACUCUAGGAGAAUGAGAUUACCUUUCUGGGGAGUAUGAGAGUCAAGAGAGAUAUGUCAUCUUCAUCAUUGAGGAGACAGGCCCAGCUUCAUAUAUUGGGUGUUUGUUCUAAGGAUAAGCAUUAGGCUACAGGCCUAUCUUGCUUCUGCCAUUUUUGACUAGUUAUGUCUCCUAACUGGGAGAACUCUUAGAGGUCCUGGGAGAGAGAUAAAGCAGUUCACCUGCCACUUACUGGCAGAGCUGGGACUGGCUCCUUGUGCAGUGUUCUUUCCCAUUCUGCCUCCAAGAAGAGAACAGCAUUUUAGGAAAGACUCUGAUCUCACUUUCAGUGAUCUCAUUCUUCAGUCUUCAGCUGAAGAAUAUUUUGAAGAAACUUUGGCCUGUGGAACGACUGGGUCUGAAAAAAUGUAGGGAAGUUAAACUCAAGAGAUCUUCUCUAAAGCCAAUGUAACUUAAUCUCUUUUCUUCCCCUGUUAGAAACUCUCACUAGUAAUCAACUCAUUUCUUAAAAGGACCUCAGGAAUUAGCAAUUCCAUA